UGGAUGACGGUACCCGCANAANAAGCACCGGCUAACUACGUGCCAGCAGCCGCGGUAAUACGUAGGGUGCGAGCGUUAAUCGGAAUUANUGGGCGUAAAGGGUGCGCAGGCGGUUCUGUAAGUCCGGUGUGAAAUCCCCGGGCUCAACCUGGGAAUUGCNNUGGUGACUGCAGGGCUAGAGUACGGUAGAGGGNGGUGGAAUUCCUNGUGUAGCAGUGAAAUNCGUAGAUAUCAGGAGGACACCGAUGGCGAAGGCAGCCCCCUGGGCCUGUACUGACGCUCAUGCACGAAAGCGUGGGUAGCAAACAGGAUUAGAUACCCUGGUAGUCCACGCCGUAAACGAUGAGAACUGGCCGUGUGGAGUANUUCGCUUUGGGUGGCGCAGCUAACGCGUGAAGUUCUCCGCCUGGGGAGUACGGUCG
rnacentral:rRNA from 1 species